rnacentral:lncRNA from 1 species
UCUCUCUCCCCCUCUCUCUCUCUUUCUCUCUUUUUGAGAGAGUCUCCCUCCAGGCUGGAGUGCAGUGGCGCGAUUCCGGCUCUCACUGUCGGGUGCCCGCCACUAUGCCCGGCUAAUUUUUAUAUUUUUAGUAGAGACGGGGUUUUUCCAUGUUGGCCAGGCUGGUCUGGAACUCCUGGCCUCAACUGAUCCGCCCGCCUUGGCCUCCCAAAGUGCUGGGAUUACAGGCCUGAGCCACUAGGCCCUGCCUCUUCUCUCCUUUUCUGUUUCUCAGCCUCCAACUUCAUAUUUCUGUUUAUAUUCUUUCUGCCCCCUGUUCCCCAGGGAGUUUCACAGAAGAGCCACAGGCCUCUAGCAUAGUCAUCUAGAAUGCCAGCCACCUCUUUUCCGUCCAGCGUCUUGGAAUUAGUCUCCACUGGAUCUUGCUGCCUGAGCUUCUGGUCUGCAGGGUGACAGGUGCCUUCUGCAGCCCCCUCAGGCCAGGCUUGUUUUUGUUUGUCCUUUGCUUUAUAAACACAGACAAAUAGCCGUUUAUUUGGAAUUCACUGUCCUCAUUGAAGAGGUGGCAUUAGUGGCUGUGAAAGCGACACGGGCUCUGUGGGAAGAGAAGUAAGGAGGACUUCUGGGAAGGAAACGAGGUUCUCGGAUGAGCAGGGGCUGUGAUAUGAAAGUGAUCAAGAGAUGGGACCAUCUAGUUGCAAGAGAACAAGCUCAGGGCUCCCCCUGAUUCUACAUGAUGUAUUUGUCUUCACUUUCAAAGAGCGUAAAGUGAAAGAAAGGAGGAAGUCCACACCCUUGGGUUUGGGGGCAUCGGAUCCAGUGUGCAAUGUGAGAAGUAAAAUGAAGAGGAGAAAUGAUCUAGAGAGACUUUCUGAUGAAGCAAACACCAGAUAUCCUAGAAUUUCAGCAAAUCUAAGACUCCGUCAAGUGUUAGAUGCCCCAUUAUUUUAUGUAUUAUUAAUAAAGAAAAAAACACUGCCAAUUAUAAUUGGCAUUGAUUGAAAGAUACAUCCAGAUUUCAGAGGAUUUCAGGAAGAUAAAAUAGCCGUGGCAUUUUGAAAACCAGCUCAGAAGAUAUAAGCAUAUGAAAUGGUGAGUGUUUGGUGAACCGCACGGUAGAGUGGUUAAGCAUUUGGUCUUCUGAGUCAGUCGAAACUUUGGCUUAAGGCCCAACUGCAUCAUUUACUAGCUGUGUGACCUUCAGCAAGUGACUUACCUUAUCUGAGCUCCAAUAUCCUUAUCUCUAUACUGGGGGUAAAGUUACCAACCUCCUAAAAUAUUGUGAAGAUUUCUGGAAAUGGUGUUUAUAAAGUAUUGGUGCGGUUCUUGGCAAAUGCUUCAAACUCAAUAAAUGGAAGCUGCCAUCGUCAGUGUCAUCAUCAUCAUCGUUACCAUCAUCACCACCACUGAUGUCAUUAUCAGGAGGAAGAAAAGAAGAAGGAAACAUUUUCUAGGCUUUUAAAACUUGUUUCAUCCACUUCUGACCUCAGAAUAAUUACAAUAAUCUAUUACUGUGUCAUAAUAUCUAAAAGAACCUAUCUCUACCAUUGUGGGAGGAACCAUAUUAGUUCAGCAGAGUAACUGGGUUCACGCUGCCUUCUCUACCUUCUCAGGCUUCUCUGUGAGGCUUGGUAGAACGAUUUACUCUUCUUCCUGCAUUCUUACUGUGUGGAGUCUGUGUGCCUCCAGUUAGCCCUCGCCUCAUUACCCUUUCCUGUGUCAACAGCUGUGAUUGAUAUCGGGAUGGAUUCGAAGUGAGGCAGCUAGCAGCGUGACCUUGAGCAAAUCAGUUCAUUUCACUGGGGCUUUGUCUCUUCAUCUGGACACUGGGGUCGUAUCACCCACCUCACAAGGUUACAUGAGAUGGUUUUCCCAGCAUGUAAUAGGUUCUCAUAAAGAUCAUAGUUACUAGAAUUAGUGGACGUGUCUGGUUUUCCCACUGUAUUGUAAACGUGUUAAGGACUGUAUUAGUCUGCGCUCAUGCUGCUAAUAAAGUCAUACCUGAG